rnacentral:lncRNA from 1 species
ACUCAUGUUGUUUAUCUCGAUAUGUCAUCUGCUUUCGACACAAAAAAUCACUAUCACUAUAAUGAUCUUACGGAUCAUUAUUGAUGAUAAACUAUCUUAUAACAUCACAGAUUUAUCGUCUAAUUAAGAAAUUAUCUAUCAAACCGGGAAUUAUUUGCCGCAAUCUUUAUUUACGUAAUUAUAAAAUCUUGCAGAUAUUAUUGCUCGUUUUUAUUCAAUCAGUAAUUGAUUAUGGUCUCAUAGUUUGGUCAACUGCAGCAAAACUUACAUGGAGUUAUUAUCUCAGCAUUACAAAAUACUAAAAAAAUUGUACGUAAUAAUUACAAAUAGCUUUGACACUCCUGAUUACUUCUGGUUAUGCAGUUAUUCUAAAAUCCACACUAUUCAUAGCCGUAUUACCUUCUUUGAUGCUAAAUAUUUAUAUUAUUAUUACAACUUUCAGCUUCAAUCGGAAAUACUAAGUUUAUGCCCACUGAAUCGUGUAACACGGCAUCCAGUUGUUUUUUAUAUACCAUUAAUAAGAACUG